ACCAUGGCAAGUCGAACGGGCAGCACGGCCGGGUAACCGGUGGGUGGCGAGUGGCGGACGGGUGAGUAAUGCGUAGGAAUCUGCCUUGUAGUGGGGGAUAACUCGGGGAAACUCGGGCUAAUACCGCAUACGCUCUACGGAGGAAAGCGGGGGAUCUUCGGACCUCGCGCUAUGAGAUGAGCCUACGUCCGAUUAGCUAGUUGGCAGGGUAAUGGCCUACCAAGGCGACGAUCGGUAGCUGGUCUGAGAGGACGAUCAGCCACACUGGAACUGAGACACGGUCCAGACUCCUACGGGAGGCAGCAGUGGGGAAUAUUGGACAAUGGGCGCAAGCCUGAUCCAGCAAUGCCGCGUGUGUGAAGAAGGCCUGCGGGUUGUAAAGCACUUUAAGCAGGGAAGAAGGGUGGGGGGUUAAUACCCUCUCACAUUGACGUUACCUGCAAAAUAAGCACCGGCUAACUCCGUGCCAGCAGCCGCGGUAAUACGGAGGGUGCUAGCGUUAAUCGGAAUUACUGGGCAUAAA
rnacentral:rRNA from 2 species